CCUACGGGAGGCAGCAGUGGGGAAUAUUGGACAAUGGGCGAAAGCCUGAUCCAGCAAUGCCGCGUGAGUGAUGAAGGCCUUCGGGUCGUAAAGCUCUUUUACCAGGGAUGAUAAUGACAGUACCUGGAGAAUAAGCUCCGGCUAACUCCGUGCCAGCAGCCGCGGUAAUACGGAGGGAGCUAGCGUUGUUCGGAAUUACUGGGCGUAAAGAGUACGUAGGCGGUUAUUCAAGUCAGAGGUGAAAGCCCGGGGCUCAACCCCGGAACUGCCUUUGAAACUAGAUAACUAGAGUCUUGGAGAGGUUAGUGGAAUUCCGAGUGUAGAGGUGAAAUUCGUAGAUAUUCGGAAGAACACCAGUGGCGAAGGCGACUAACUGGACAAGUACUGACGCUGAGGUACGAAAGCGUGGGGAGCAAACAGGAUUAGAUACCCUGGUAGUCCACGCCGUAAACGAUGAUAACUAGUUGUUCGGUCACUUGGUGACUGAGUGACGCAGCUAACGCAUUAAGUUAUCCGCCUGGGGAGUACGGUCGCAAGAUUAAAACCAGAAAGUAAUUGGACGGCGNGAGAGCGACGACGACGACGACGAGGAGAG
rnacentral:rRNA from 1 species